CACACCAGCAGCACAAUGAUGAUGUCACUGACUCUACUGCUGACCACCCUGGGGCUCCUUGUUCAGGGAUCAUCAGGCCAAGUUACUGUCAUUCAAACUCCUGGAUCUCAGUCUGUUUCUCCAGGACAGACUGUCUCCAUCAAAUGUAAAGUCAGUCCAAGCACUACUUACUGCAUGAGGUGGUAUCUUCAGAAACCUGGAGAAGCUCCUAAAUUUCUCAUUGAGUGUGAUAAAACUUCUGGUCGUCUCACUACAACAAGCUCUGGAAAUACUGACUUCACUCUGACCAUCAGUGGAGUUCAGACUGAAGAUGCUGCAGUUUAUUACUGUCAGAGUUAUCAUAGCGGUGGUGUGUUCACACAGUGA